ensembl:snRNA U2 U2 spliceosomal RNA
AUUGCUUCUUGGCCUUUUGGCUAGGAUUAAGUGCAUUAUCUAUUCUCAUCAGUUUAAUAUGUGGUAUGUCCUCUAUAUGAGGAUUAUAUAUUAAAUUGAUUUUUAAAACAGGGAGACAGAAGAGGGGCUUGUUCUGUCCGCUCCACACAUCAACCUGAUAUUGCAGUAUGCCUAGGACCAGUGCACCUCCU